GAUGAACGCUGGCGGCGUGCCUAAUACAUGCAAGUCGAGCGAACAGACGAGGAGCUUUCUCCUCUGACGUUAGCGGCGGACGGGUGAGUAACACGUGGAUAACCUACCUAUAAGACUGGGAUAACUUCGGGAAACCGGAGCUAAUACCGGAUAACAUGUUGAACCGCAUGGUUCAACAGUGAAAGACGGUCUUGCUGUCACUUAUAGAUGGAUCCGCGUCGCAUUAGCUAGUUGGUAAGGUAACGGCUUACCAAGGCAACGAUGCGUAGCCGACCUGAGAGGGUGAUCGGCCACACUGGAACUGAGACACGGUCCAGACUCCUACGGGAGGCAGCAGUAGGGAAUCUUCCGCAAUGGGCGAAAGCCUGACGGAGCAACGCCGCGUGAGUGAAGAAGGUCUUCGGAUCGUAAAACUCUGUUAUUAGGGAAGAACACAUGUGUAAGUAACUAUGCACGUCUUGACGGUACCUAAUCAGAAAGCCACGGCUAACUACGUG
rnacentral:rRNA from 1 species